GGUUCGAUGGUGUAGUUGGUUAUCACGUCCGUCUCACAUUCACUUGUGCUCACGGGAGGUCUCCGGUUCGAGCCCGGGUCGAACCA
rnacentral:tRNA from 1 species